CGAGGAAUUCUUUCGUUUUCAUGGUUCUCCUGAACUGAAGAAACAGGCUCUGUUUCAGGUUCUGGACUGCCAGGCUUGCCCUGGCUAUUGGAAUAAAUGUUCUCUGGGUGCUGCUGUUGAUUCUGGGCAGCAGCAAUUACAGGCUUACCAUAUACACUUGAAAAGUGUGGCCCUCUGGUAUGAGUCUUGGUCAACGCGCUCUGCACAGCCUGCUGGAAGUUUUUUCCUGGCGCCUGCUGUUGCGUAU
rnacentral:lncRNA from 1 species